rnacentral:rRNA from 1 species
UACGUAGGGUGCAAGCGUUGUCCGGAAUUAUUGGGCGUAAAGAGCUCGUAGGCGGUCUGUCGCGUCGGCUGUGAAAUCCCGAGGCUCAACCUCGGGUCUGCAGUCGAUACGGGCAAACUAGAGUAUUGCAGGGGAGACUGGAAUUCCUGGUGUAGCGGUGAUAUGCGCAGAUAUCAGGAGGAACACCGGUGGCGAAGGCGGGUCUCUGGGCAAUAACUGACGCUGAGGAGCGAAAGCGUGGGUAGCGAACAGG